UAUUGUGACCUCAUACCUGUUUUUAUCGUAGUUCCUCAUCAACAGAGAAGGUCAGGUUGUGAAGAGGUAUGGACCGACGGACGAUCCAAGCGUGGUUGAAAAGGAUCUUCCCAAGUACCUGUAGCCUUUCGGAUCAAACCCGAUCUCCGUCCCGUGUGUUUGUAGAAAUGCGUCUCCUCUCUGGUCGGCGGCUGGAUGUUGGCGGGUGAAGCCCAGAUCUGUGACGGACGUUCCUCAAGCCUGUGCUCAGGUGGGGACGGCCUGAUGUCCUCCGGCGUGCAUAUUCUCUGGGACAGCCCUGCGAUGUCCAGCCGCGGGAGAGAGAGGAGCUGAACUGCACUGAAAUCACUCGUGUAUCUGUAGAAGCUUUACUAAUGAACAGCUGUAAUGAUUAAACAGUAGAUCACAACUUCCUCUGCGUGAGUGUUUUCCUUUACUAGACUGAGUGAUGUUUACAGAUUCAGAAUAUUCUGAUUAAAUCAUGUCUCAUAUGGGACUGUGGGUAAAUUGGGCUGCUUUUUGAUCGUCAUAUAAAUGUUGAAAUGUGACCCAAUCCACACUAAUAAUUCAUAAUAGCACUAUUAAUCAGAUGUAGUAGUUAAAGCUCAGUUGUUUUUUUAUUUUAUUUAUUCUUUUCAGUAAGUGUUUUAUUGUAGUUAUUAAAAUUAUUUAUAUUAUUUAAUUUUACAUUAGUAUUUGAUAAAUAGUAUAAUUUAUAUCAAUUAAUAGUUUUUAUUAAAUUAUUGCAUUUUUUAAAUACUUUUUGUUUUAAUUUAAUUUAUUGUAGUUUUAUGCUUUUGUCUUUUUUUAAGUAUUACUUGAACACUUUUAUUUUUAUUUUAGGUUUUAUUUUAUUUCCGGUUGGUAAUUAAAAUUUUUAAUGUUGCUUUGAUAGCUAACUGAAAUAAGUUUACAUUUUUCUUCUUAAUUUUAAUUUUAUUUCAGCUGUAUUUUAACAAAAAUGUUUUGUCGAUUUUCUGACCCUCCAUGCGGAUUGUCGCCUCCAAGUGUCUCGAUAGUCACCUUGAAUAAGUGACUUUAGUUGAUAAGGGUGAUCGUGUGUGUGUGUGUGGUUUUUCAAGUGUAUUGUAGUUUGAGGGUCACCCGGUAGAGAGCGGUAUUUUCCCAUUUAUUCCCAUUUUAUUUUGUAUUUUUUAUUUUAUGGUUAAUUUGUCCUCUUAGUAUUUAAUUUACUGGUAAAAUGGAGGCUUUUAUAGUGCUUUAAACUAAAAAAUUAUUAGAAUUGUGUUUGAAUGAAAUGCACAUGUAAAUUCCUCCGUGGCUGACGUCAUUGUAAAAGGCGCUACUAGGUUGACGUCACUGCUGCGCUGAUCGGGAGCGCGCACAUACUCGCACACGCGCCGCACCGCGGACCCAGAUCAUGACGCGCGCCCCGUGUUUCCUCGCUUUGAUUCGCGUUGACGCUCCGCGGCUCGCUUGAUCCGGAUCCGAUGGAGGGCGCCGCGGCCGGAGGAUGCGCGGCGGAGGACGCGGACGCGCUGAUGGAUGCUGCAGAUCUCGGUACGCGGAGGAUCUUUUACAUUCAGCCUUCUGUUACACAUCGAUUUAAUGCAUAUAAAUGACAUACUAGGUUUAAAAUGAUUCUUUUAUAAUACAGUCAUGUUGACAGUACCAUGGUAUUCACACUUCAUACAAUCUGUUUUUCUGCCAUAGCAGUAUUUUUAUUCUAAGUGGUAUAAUGUUUAGGUUGUUUAUUAGCAUGGAAAGACAUAAUUUUACCAUGGCAUAAGGCAGUCAGUAUAUUAAAAUAACCAUCAGAUCUCAUCACUGAAUCAUUAUACUGCUAUAAUAAAAUUUUUUAAGUGACAGAAUUUACACACACAUAUAUAUGUGUGUGUGUGUGUGUGCAUAAUUUUUGUGCGUAAAUGGAUAUAAAUCCAUACAUUUUACCC
rnacentral:lncRNA from 1 species